rnacentral:misc_RNA from 1 species
GCAAACUUGGUCAUUUAGAGGAAGUAAAAGUCGUAACAAGGUUUCCGUAGGUGAACCUGCGGAAGGAUCAUUAACGAGUUAGGGUCCUCUGGGCUCGACCUCCCACCCUUUGUCUACCUUACCUUUUGUUGCUUCGGCGGAUCCGUCCUACAACGGGACCGCCGGAGGGUGAUCAGUCACUCUCUGGCCUGCGUCCGCCGGCGGCCUACUAUCAAAUUCUAUUUGAAACAUUGUUGCCUGAAACUGUUUGUUUAAUAAACGAAAAACUUUCAACAACGGAUCUCUUGGUUCUGGCAUCGAUGAAGAACGCAGC